CUUGGUCAUUUAGAGGAAGUAAAAGUCGUAACAAGGUUUCCGUAGGUGAACCUGCGGGAGGAUCAUUAACAAACUGUUGGGCGCAAGCCCACUAACCUUUGUGAAUAGGGCUGCUUGCAGCUUAGAUGGGGAGGGGAGACCAGACGCGAGUAUGCAGUUGUGAUUAUAGUUGUAGUUUUAUAGCUUUGAUUGUAGUUAUAGCUCUAGCUUGGUUCUGGUCAAACAUUACAAUAGUCUGAUUACACUUGAAAAUCGAAAGGUUUUUGAUAAUAAUACAACUUUUAACAAUGGAUCUCUUGGCUCUUGCAACGAUGAAGAACGCAGUGAAUUGCGAUAAGUAAUGUGACUUGCAUUCAUUUGUGAAUCAUCGAAUCUUUGAACGCACCUUGCACUUUAAGAGUCGAUCUUAAAGUAUACCUGUUUGAGUAUCAUAAACAUUUAUCCAAUUUAUUGGGAUUUGAUGGCUUAAUUAGCGCUGCUGAUUAUCUGUUUAAAUGUAGUAGGGAAUCAGAGAUAAGCGCGCUUAUUUCUUGAAUGAGGAUAUUUACUCUUGCAGUAAAAUAAUCAUGAAAGAGUAGGAGGCGGAUCGUUGAGACCCUUAACUCACUCCCACUUGGCUUCUCUCGAGAAGACGGUGGAAGCGAACUCGUACAAAUGUGAUCUCAAAUCAGGCAAGACUACCCGCCGAACUUAAGCAUAUCAGUAAGCGGAGGAAAAGAAACUAACAAGGAUUCCCUCAGUAAUGGCGAAUGAACCGGGAAGAGCUCAAAUUUAAAAUCUGGCUGGGUUACCAGUCCGAGUUGUAAUUUAUAGAAACGUUUUCUUGCAAAUUGAUUGGUAAAAGUUCCUUGGAACAGGACAUCAUAGAGGGUGAGAAUCCCGUCUCUGACCUUUCAGAUUUGCUUUAUGAUACGUUUUCAAAGAGUCAGGUUGCUUGGGAAUGCAGCUCAAAAUGGGUGGUAAAUUUCAUCUAAAGCUAAAUAUUGGCAAGAGACCGAUAGCGAACAAGUACCGUGAGGGAAAGAUGAAAAGAACUUUGAAAAGAGAGUUAAAUAGUACGUGAAAUUGUUAAAAGGGAAGGGCUUGAAACCAGUAUUGUGUGCAAGAAUUCAGCGGUAAUUUAUAAAGAGUUGUCGUGUAUUUUCUUGUAUGCAAGUCAAUAUCAGUUUUGCUUGUUGGAAAAGGGAAAGAGGAAGGUGAUCAUCGGCUUCGGCCUUUGGUUUUAUAGACUCUUUCUUAUACAGCGAGCCGGGACUGUGGACUGCAAUACUUACAGGUCUAUUUGGCUUAUAGUUUUGUUUCACGCAAGGACUACAUGUAGAUCUUGGGUGCAAUGUGGCUAUACGGCUAAUGAGAUUCUCCAGUAUUUAGGAUAUUGACGAAAUGGUUUUAAACCACCCGUCUUGAAACACGGACC
rnacentral:rRNA from 1 species